UUUGCUAUGCCUGUGGUACAUAUAUUUAACGAGAGUAGCCUCCCCUCCAUUAGCCCAUGUGCUUAGGAGAGUGGAUAAUUAAAAUUGCAGGUGGCGAAGUAUCAAUUUUAUUUACUUAAAUCCUGUCACAGAGGCUGUUCUCUUCAUGUCAGGUAGUAUAUAGCACCUACUGUUAAUAAUUUAGUCAGUGCUUGGCUUUAUAUUUGUACUGUCACCAAUGUAUAAUCAAUAGUGGUGAGAUACCUAAACACUAUUUUACCAGUGCAUAGCACCGGCCCGGCCGUGACCAUGUUGUAAUUGGUGCAAACUUCACCAGCCAUGUGCUUUCGUGUUCUCAGAGCAUCGGCACACACUAGGCUACACAUUUUUUGUUUUUUGAAGUGUGGUGGAUAUUUUAAUCAGCACUAAUUAGCAUAAUAAUUAAGCAAAUAUAGCAUGAAUGCACUGUGGAUAGCCACCACUUUGCAUAAAAUUAAUAGAAACACAAGACAGAGUAAUGUAAAUAAUUGUGUAUUAUGGAAUGGAUAUAUCAGACAUUAUAAAAAUAUGGCAUAUGGUGUCAUGAAUAUUAGACUGCCAGGUCAGGAUAAACACAAGCCAAUUAAUGUUCACAGGCUUCGAUACAUGAUUCAUGUCAAAUCAGUCACUUUACCAAAAUCUUUUGAUGUUUCUCACUUAUGUCACCACAGUUUGUGUGUCAAUAUACACCACUUAAGUCUAGAGCCACAUGUAAUCAAUAAUCAAAGGCAGCACUGUAGAAAUAUGGUUCCAAAGAAAUGUUCAGGCCAUGGUAUAUAUCCAGAUUGCAUUUUAUAAUAGUUCAGGUAAAUAAAUAAAUACAUAUAUAUAUAUAUAUAUCGGAAAGAAUUCACCGAGUGUUCACAGUUUGUUGCCAACAGAGUUAUAGUUCAGUUCGGGGUCGAGUAAGUUUUUUGAAUAUGUUAUUGUCCGAUGAAGUCUAUCAUACAUAUUGUAUCUUUUUCUUCUUAGAGAUGCCCUCCUGGCUUGGAAUUGCUGUGUUCGUUGACGACUCGCAUGUCUCCUGGCUAUCCGCUCGAUGCUCUUCAAGUGGCAUAUGACCGAUGUUUUGUCACGUACCCCAGCUCCCACAGCUGUACAUCUUUGAAUGACCGAACUUGAAAACCCACUGUUCAGCAUAUGCACGGCACUGUGUAUGCGGCUGGUGAAAUUUCUAUGAUAUUUUGCUCUGGGAUGACUGUAAUCCGGACACGGCACGGGAAUCGCCAUCAGUCGUGAAGAAUCCAAUCGUGAGUGGAGAGACGUCUGAUGAGAAGUCACUUGAACACUGAGCUGCAGAAUGUUCUUCGUCUCCUAUUGUGUCGUCAAGCCGGAGAUUUGCUGUACAGGAACUCGCCUGCCUGUGUACCACCUCCAGUUGAGAUCCGUGUUGGUCGGAGAAGUCUAAUGUCACUGGGAAUUCCAUCCGCAUCCUUGACGAUGUAUGACUGUCUAUCACAAUGGUGUACCACAGCGUUGAACUCUUCUUGACUAAGUCUCUUGGUAACUGGUAUGUUGUCACCUUCAGGCUUAAGACACUUUGUUUUAGUAACACCUAUAGUUCUUUUGAACAGACAUUGGUGUCCCUUUUGAAAGGCACCCUUGUUGUGCAGGUUUUCUGUUGGAUUUUUCUUUGGCUUCAUUGUUAGCACACUGGGUGUGGUAUAUUCUCUUAGUAUAAGGAAAAGUUGUGAACUUUUGUAUCUCUUAGCAUGUAGCAGUCUUCAGCGGAAUGGAACCUGUGGUGUGUGUUAUGUUAAUAAAUACUCUCAUGCAGUAAACUGAUGCGUGUUCUGUUUU